rnacentral:rRNA from 1 species
CCGGCUUACCAACCCGAUGCAAACUGCGAAUACCGGAGAAUGUUAUCACGGGAGACACACGGCGGGUGCUAACGUCCGUCGUGAAGAGGGAAACAACCCAGACCGCCAGCUAAGGUCCCAAAGUCAUGGUUAAGUGGGAAACGAUGUGGGAAGGCCCAGACAGCCAGGAUGUUGGCUUAGAAGCAGCCAUCAUUUAAAGAAAGCGUAAUAGCUCACUGGUCGAGUCGGCCUGCGCGGAAGAUGUAACGGGGCUAAACCAUGCACCGAAGCUGCGGCAGCGACACUGUGUGUUGUUGGGUAGGGGAGCGUUCUGUAAGCCUGUGAAGGUGUGUCGU